rnacentral:lncRNA from 1 species
GUUUAACCAAUCAACGUGUUUAACCAACCAACAUGUUUAAUCAACGUGUUUAACCAACCAACCAAUCAAUCAAUCAAUGCAUGUUUCCGUUUCAUCUGUUUCAUACGGGAUCCAAGGUCUCUUUUUUUUCUUCGCUUGUUGUAAUUGAGCCUAUCCAAUGUGUUUAACUAACCAACGUGUUUAACCAACAUGUUUAACCAAACCAACGUGUUUAACCAACCAACCAACCAAUCAAUCAACCAAUGCAUGUUUCUGUUUCAUGUGUUUAAUACGGAAUCUAAUGUCUCUUUUUUUUCGCUUGUUUAAAUUAACCCUAUACAACGUGUUUAACCAAUGUGUUUAACCAAACAAUGUGUUUAACCAACCAACCAACCAAUCAAUCAA